rnacentral:rRNA from 1 species
CUUUCAACAACGGAUCUCUUGGUUCCAGCAUCGAUGAAGAACGCAGCGAAAUGCGAUAAGUAAUGUGAAUUGCAGAAUUCAGUGAAUCAUCGAAUCUUUGAACGCACAUUGCGCCCCUCGGUGUUCCGGGGGGCAUACCUGUUCGAGCGUCAUCACACCCUCAAGCGUAGCUUGGUAUU